rnacentral:rRNA from 1 species
CCUACGGGUGGCUGCAGUGAGGAAUAUUGGUCAAUGGACGAGAGUCUGAACCAGCCAAGUAGCGUGAAGGAUGACUGCCCUAUGGGUUGUAAACUUCUUUUAUAUGGGAAUAAAACGUUCCACGUGUGGGAUUUUGUAUGUACCAUAUGAAUAAGGAUCGGCUAACUCCGUGCCAGCAGCCGCGGUAAUACGGAGGAUCCGAGCGUUAUCCGGAUUUAUUGGGUUUAAAGGGAGCGUAGGUGGAUUGUUAAGUCAGUUGUGAAAGUUUGCGGCUCAACCGUAAAAUUGCAGUUGAAACUGGCAGUCUUGAGUACAGUAGAGGUGUGCGGAAUUCGUGGUGUAGCGGUGAAAUGCUUAGAUAUCACGAAGAACUCCGAUUGCGAAGGCAGUUCACUGGACUGCAACUGACACUGAGGCUCGAAAGUGUGGGUAUCAAACAGGAUUAGAUACCCUUGUAGUC